rnacentral:rRNA from 1 species
GACGAACGCUGGCGGCGUGCUUAACACAUGCAAGUCGAACGGAAAGGCCCUGCUUUUGUGGGGUGCUCGAGUGGCGAACGGGUGAGUAACACGUGAGUAACCCGCCCUUGACUUUGGGAUAACUUCAGGAAACUGCGGCUAAUACCGGAUAGGAGCUCUUGCUGCAUGGUGGGGGUUGGAAAGUUUCGGCGGUUGGGGAUGGACUCGCGGCUUAUCAGCUUGUUGGUGGGGUAGUGGCAUACCAAGGCUUUGACGGGUAGCCGGCCUGAGAGGGUGAACGGGCACAUGGGGCCUGAGGGACGGCGCAGACGCCUACGGGAGGCAGCAGGCGAGAAUAUGACACAGUGAGCGGGAGCGUGAUGCGAAGACGCCGCGUGCGGGAAGACGGCCUUCGGGUUGUAAACCGCUGUCGCCUGUGACGAAGCGGGAGUGACGGUAAUGAGUAAAGAAGCACCGGCUAACUACGUG